CCUACGGGAGGCAGCAGUGGGGAAUAUUGGACAAUGGGCGAAAGCCUGAUCCAGCAAUGCCGCGUGAGUGAUGAAGGCCUUAGGGUCGUAAAGCUCUUUUACCAGGGAUGAUAAUGACAGUACCUGGAGAAUAAGCUCCGGCUAACUCCGUGCCAGCAGCCGCGGUAAUACGGAGGGAGCUAGCGUUGUUCGGAAUUACUGGGCGUAAAGCGUGCGUAGGCGGUUAUUCAAGUCAGAGGUGAAAGCCCGGGGCUCAACCCCGGAACGGCCUUUGAAACUAGAUAACUAGAAUCUUGGAGAGGUCAGUGGAAUUCCGAGUGUAGAGGUGAAAUUCGUAGAUAUUCGGAAGAACACCAGUGGCGAAGGCGACUGACUGGACAAGUAUUGACGCUGAGGUACGAAAGUGUGGGGAGCAAACAGGAUUAGAUACCCUGGUAGUCCACGCCGUAAACGAUGAUAACUAGCUGUCCGGACACUUGGUGUUUGGGUGGCGCAGCUAACGCAUUAAGUUAUCCGCCUGGGGAGUACGGUCGCAAGNUUAAAACUCAAAGGAAUUGACGG
rnacentral:rRNA from 1 species